rnacentral:rRNA from 1 species
AUGAACGCUGGCGGUAUGCUUAACACAUGCAAGUCGAACGGUCUCUUCGGAGAUAGUGGCGGACGGGUGAGUAACGCGUGAGAAUCUAGCUCCAGGUCGGGGACAACAGUUGGAAACGACUGCUAAUACCGGAUGAGCCGGAAGGUAAAAGAUUAAUUGCCUGGAGAUGAGCUCGCGUCUGAUUAGCUAGUAGGUGUGGUAAGAGCGCACCUAGGCGACGAUCAGUAGCUGGUCUGAGAGGAUGAUCAGCCACACUGGGACUGAGACACGGCCCAGACUCCUACGGGAGGCAGCAGUGGGGAAUUUUCCGCAAUGGGCGAAAGCCUGACGGAGCAAUACCGCGUGAGGGAGGAAGGCUCUUGGGUUGUAAACCUCUUUUCUCAAGGAAUAACAAAAUGAAGGUACUUGAGGAAUAAGCAUCGGCUAACUCCGUGCCAGCAGCCGCGGUAAUACGGAGGAUGCAAGCGUUAUCCGGAAUGAUUGGGCGUAAAGGGUCCGCAGGUGGCCCUGUAAGUCUGCUGUCAAAGAGUGCGGCUUAACCGCAUAAAGGCAGUGGAAACUACAGAGCUAGAGUGCGUUCGGGGCAGCAGGAAUUCCUGGUGUAGCGGUGAAAUGCGUAGAGAUCAGGAAGAACACCGGUGGCGAAAGCGUGCUGCUAGGCCGUAACUGACGCUGAGGGACGAAAGCUAGGGGAGCGAAUGGGAUUAGAUACCCCAGUAGUCCUAGCCGUAAACGAUGGAUACUAGGCGUGGCUUGUAUC